rnacentral:rRNA from 1 species
GACGAACGCUGGCGGCGCGCCUAACACAUGCAAGUCGAACGAGAGAGAGGGAGCUUGCUUCCUCGAUCGAGUGGCGAACGGGUGAGUAACGCGUGAGGAACCUGCCUCAAAGAGGGGGACAACAGUUGGAAACGACUGCUAAUACCGCAUAAGCCCACGGCUCGGCAUCGAGCAGAGGGAAAAGGAGCAAUCCGCUUUGAGAUGGCCUCGCGUCCGAUUAGCUAGUUGGUGAGGUAACGGCCCACCAAGGCGACGAUCGGUAGCCGGACUGAGAGGUUGAACGGCCACAUUGGGACUGAGACACGGCCCAGACUCCUACGGGAGGCAGCAGUGGGGAAUAUUGCACAAUGGGGGAAACCCUGAUGCAGCGGCGCCGCGUGGAGGAAGAAGGUCUUCGGAUUGUAAACUCCUGUUGUUGAGGAAGAUAAUGACG